UAGGGAAUUUUCGGCAAUGGGCGAAAGCCUGACCGAGCAACGCCGCGUGAGUGAAGAAGGCCUUCGGGUCGUAAAGCUCUGUUGUAAAGGAAGAACGGCAGGGGUGUCCCCCUGAGUGACGGUACUUUACCAGAAAGCCACGGCUAACUACGUGCCAGCAGCCGCGGUAAUACGUAGGUGGCAAGCGUUGUCCGGAAUUAUUGGGCGUAAAGGGAGCGCAGGUGGAUCGUAAAGUCUUGUUUAAAAGAGCGGGGCUCAACCCCGUUAGGGACAAGAAACUUAAGAUCUUGAGUGCAGGAGAGGGAAGCGGAAUUCCUAGUGUAGCGGUGAAAUGCGUAGAUAUUAGGAGGAACACCAGUGGCGAAGGCGGCUUCCUGGACUGUAACUGACACUGAGGCUCGAAAGCUAGGGUAGCGAACG
rnacentral:rRNA from 1 species